CGGAAACCGCUUUGGGCUGCAACGAAACCCAAAAGCCAUGGCCUCUGCUGAUUCGUCUCACCACAGACGGGUUUUGGCUCAAGUGCCGUCGUGCUCUUGGGAACUCUUGUUCUUUCGGAUAUCUAUCUCCUCUCAGGUUAGAUCACGUUCCGUUUUUAGUUGUUGUUUCGGAUAGCUAAGCUGUGUUAUCAGG